AUUGACCUCGGAUCAGGUAGGAAUACCCGCUGAACUUAAGCAUAUCAAUAAGCGGAGGAAAAGAAACCAACAGGGAUUGCCCUAGUAACGGCGAGUGAAGCGGCAACAGCUCAAAUUUGAAAUCUGGUCCCUCACGGGGCCCGAGUUGUAAUUUGCAGAGGAUGUCUUCUGGCGCGGUGCCUUCCGAGUUCCCUGGAACGGGACGCCACAGAGGGUGAGAGCCCCGUAAUGGUCGGAUACCAAGCCUGUGUGAAGCUCCUUCGACGAGUCGAGUAGUUUGGGAAUGCUGCUCUAAAUGGGAGGUAAAUCUCUUCUAAAGCUAAAUACYGGCCAGAGACCGAUAGCGCACAAGUAGAGUGAUCGAAAGAUGAAAAGCACCUUGAAAAGGGGGUUAAACAGUACGUGAAAUUGUUGAAAGGGAAGCGCUCAUGACCAGACUUGCGCCGGGCGGCUCAUCAGGUGGUUCUGCCCCUGUGUACUCCGUCCCGGUUCAGGCCAGCAUCGGUUCGCGCCGGGGGACAAGAACGGUGGGAACGUGGCCCCCCCUCGGGGGGGUGUUAUAGCCCGCCGUGACGAUACCCUGGUGCGGACCGAGGUUCGCGCACUCCGCAAGGAUGCUGGCGUAAUGGUUAUCAGUGACCCGUCUUGAAACACGGACCAAGGAGUCGUCCUUUAGAGCGAGCGUCUGGGUGUCAAAACCCGCACGCGUAAUGAAAGUGAAAUCAGGUGAGAGCCCCUCGUGGGCGCAUCAUCGACCGAUCCUGAUGUUCUCGGAUGGAUUUGAGUAAGAGUUUUAACGGACGGACCCGAAAGACAGUGAACUAUGCUUGUAUAGGGUGAAGCCAGAGGAAACUCUGGUGGAGGCUCGCAGCGGUUCUGACGUGCAAAUCGAUCGUCAAAUAUGAGCAUGGGGGCGAAAGACUAAUCGAAC
rnacentral:rRNA from 1 species